AUACGGAGGGUGCAAGCGUUACUCGGAAUCACUGGGCGUAAAGCGCGCGCAGGCGGCCAUUUAAGUUGGAUGUGAAAGCCUACGGCUCAACCGUAGAACUGCAUCCAAAACUAUUUGGCUAGAGUGUGGGAGAGGAAGAUGGAAUUUGUUGUGUAGGGGUAAAAUCCGUAGAGAUAACUAGGAAUACCAAAAGCGAAGGCAAUCUUCUGUAACAUUACUGACGCUGAGGCGCGAAAGCGUGGGGAGCAAACAGGAUUAGAAACCCUAGUAGUCC
rnacentral:rRNA from 1 species